GACGAACGCUGGCGGCGUGCUUAACACAUGCAAGUCGAACGGAAAGGCCCUGCUUUUGUGCGGUCCUCGAGUGGCCAACGGGUGAGUAACACGUGAGUAACCUGCCCUUGACUUUGGGAUAACUUCAGGAAACUGGGGCUAAUACCGGAUAGGAGCUCCUGCUGCAUGGUGGGGGUGCGAAAGUUUCGGCGGUUGGGGAUGGACUCGCGGCCUAUCAGCUUGUUGGGGGGGUAGUGGCUUACCAAGGCCUUGACGGGUAGCCGGCCUGGGAGGGUGACCGGACACAUUGGGAGGGGGAUGAGGCACGGACUCCUACGGGAGGGAGGAGUGGGGAAGGUUGCACAAUGGGAGGAAGGCGGAUGCAGCAAGGCAGCGUGGGGGAUGACGGGCUGGGGGUUGUAAAGCGCUGUCGCCUGUGACGAAGCGUGAGUGACGGUAAUGGGUAAAGAAGCACCGGCUAACUACGUG
rnacentral:rRNA from 1 species